rnacentral:rRNA from 1 species
UACGGGGGGGGCAAGCGUUGUUCGGAAUUACUGGGCGUAAAGGCUCGUAGGCGGCCAACUAAGUCCGACGUGAAAUCCCAAAGCUUAACUUUGGAACUGCGUCGGAUACUGGAUGGCUUGAAUUCGGGAGAGGGAUGCAGAAUUCCAGGUGUAGCGGUGAAAUGCGUAGAUAUCUGGAGGAAUACCGGUGGCGAAGGCGGCAUCCUGGACCGACAUUGACGCUGAGGAGCGAAAGCUAGGGGAGCAAACGGG